CGCCGUAGCCGCUGCCCCCGCCCCGCAUGCAUCGGUGCCACCUUCGAAACAAAAGUUUUAAUUAUUUAUUAGCGGCACGUAGCGGAACACAGCCGGGCGACGAAGGCCAUGGUCUCUUUAAAGCACUGCUUCAAACUUUUAUGCGCGAAACCUGACAUCUCCGAAAAAUGGUUUCAACGCUCUCUAUCGUGCAGUAUAUAACAAGGCUGGUGCAGAGCAAACCGAGUGGAUUGAACCGCGACGCGACUAUUUUUCAAUUAGCGAGAUCGAACUGGGAAACGACGGAUAAUGAAGAAAAAAAACAUCGUCAGCGAAGCGGAUUGACGUGACCCUGUGGGGCUGCUGCUGCUGUCGUCCGACGACACACAGCAGCUGAAAGAGAGCUCGAUUAUGCUGGGCCGCACCCUAGUUGCGUGGGUCGCCGGAUGUGACAGUCGCUCGCUUUAAUUACUCACACGCGUGUGCCCGGCCGGUUUAAAGUGCAAGAUACUCAAUUCAAGACGAUUCACAGCCUCGACAGAGGGAGAGAGAGAGAGAGAGAGAGCAUGUUUGCGCGAAACCUUAGACUCAAGACGGCAGCAGUGUGGAGAAAUACGAGGAUAUAGUAGCCGAAGGGGGAGAGUCACGCGCGUAAUGCUACACACAGAGCCAGCAGCGCAGCGUUUAUCCAGCUCUUCGGUCCAUAGAUCAAUGGCUGGCAAUUAUUUUUAUUGCGGAUGGACUCCCGGGCUGCGCCAUGCGCAUACAUGCACAUCGCACGCGCCGCUGCAAUAAGCGACGACGGCAGAAGACGAGAUUUUCACGCGGGGCAUCCCACGGACUACUCGGACACGAGUUUACAUUCCGAAAGUGAAACUCAACGCCGCCGCGCUUGAUAGUGCAAGUUGAAAUUGUUCCGGCUGCAUCAGUGGCAGUAGUCCAUCGGUUACGCCGGGUAUUAUUGUUUUUCGAGAGAUAGGUAUAAGUUCAUUGGUAAAAUUUGUAAGAUCGCACCCGAUGACAGGAAAACAAAGAUAUAAAUAAUGAGGAGAGUCCGUAGAGCGUGCAAA